rnacentral:lncRNA from 1 species
AUGGAGAUGGAGGUCCGAUGCUUGGAUCAGAUACUCAUUAAAUUGUUGAUGGAACUCCAUGCUGGCAUCCAAGACUUGAAGCAAGAAUAUAGUGAUUUGACAGAUGCAGAAUCCAGCUCCCACCAAAUGGACAAUCCCAACGAUAUAUAUUUUGAUGUACCGAUAUUAAUAAAACCUUUCCUUCUGUAUAAAAUUCCUUUAAGGAAGACAUCUUGUAGAAGAAGUUCCAUGCCAUGAUCCAGCAAUAUAAACUGAUCUUCUGAUGCUAAUCAAUAUCAAUUAGUAUUUCUAACUCAGAAUAUUUCCUUCUCUGCACCAUACCAGGAAGGAAUGUUUAUAUGAUUCCUUUUACUUUCAGAUGUUUUGUUAAAUGAAGUUAACCGUAGUAGAUGAGUCCAUUUUGCUAAUGUUUUUCUUCAUCUUCCUCAUCUGUUUGAUUUUUAAGAAGCCAACUCUUAGUCUCAAAUCAAAUAACAACAGAAAGGUUCAAGCUUCUAAUAGAAUUAGGUUAAUUUUCAUUUAGGUAACUAAAAACCAAAUGUGAGCAUUUUGGAUAGACAGUAAGGAUAUUGCCUUAUGAGAAAUAAGUGUGUAUAUAACUUCCUAUAAAGAUAAGUCUUUCAGUUUUUGAAACUCCCAACACUUCUGUCUUUCCUGAUAUUUCAACACUUCCUAAUGACGAUAGACAUGCAUUCAGAAGAUACCCAAAAUGUAAAAGCACAGAUUUAUAUCUUUUUAAAAAAAUUUUAGUUAAAAAUUUUAAUCAAGCAUUUUAUUUUGUUUCACAUUUUUAAAUUGUAUUCUUAAAAUAAAGUUUAGUUCUUAUGCA